rfam:Chelatococcus sp. CO-6, complete genome.
UACCGACCCUCCAAAGGUCGGCUCGGGCUACCGAAGAGGCUUGUCCAUCAUUGCCAGGCGUGCGGAAGGCAUUCCUUCCAAAGCGUAGGCAGCACGUUCGGGUGUGAAACCCCUCGUCGUCGUCACGUCUCCACAGCGUGGCGGCGC